UUUAACAGCUGUGUGUCUCUACCUUCUGCCUGGUGUGGUCUGGAAGGCUCUCACAGGGUCCAAACACUGGCCCGUGGUCCUUCACGGUGAGACGCUCCAGCUUGGCCCUGAGGGCCUGCUCCUCCUCCGACACCAUGCGUGUUCAUGUUGUGACCAGGUGUCUCAUCCGGUGAGAAGGAUGUGGAAAAACGGGAAAAGGCUCCACGGCCUUUAUUCAAUGCACCACCACGAAGAGAGAAUGGCCCACGAACACCUGCUCUUCUUCUGGAGCUGAGCUGCACCUGAUUCAAAGCGAAGCCUGGCUGAUGACAGGACUGGUGACUCACCCGCUGACUUCGUAGGGAGACGGCACAUCGUUAGCCGUGGCGUCCAUCUUGGCGAUGACAACGUUGGGAUCGUUUGCCAGCUUCAGGAGCAAAGAAAGAAGGGUUUAAGGUUUGAAAACUUAUUUUGUCCAACACUCCGUCUGAAGUAUCUGCAGGUCAGAGGUGACCCCCUUACCUUCUCUCCCAGCUCCUUGUAUUUAGGCUCCAGGUUCUUGCAGUGUCCGCACCACGGCGCGUAGAACUCAAUCAGGACAUCUUUGCUGUCGUCGUUGACAAUGGAGUCGAAGUUCUCGGCCACAAUGACCUGACAACAAAGACUCCUAUUAAUCCUUUGUGUAAUAUUUUCAAUAAAAUCACGUGACAUGUUCCAUGUCACAGUUGAGCCAGUUUCUGUAGAUAAAAUCAUUUUACUUGAAUCAUAUACAGAUUUGAUCUGUUAGGUCGAGUGACACUCCAAUCAACCUCAACUUCUUCACACACGGGGAAGUUAAACAGGACUGGCUUCAUGUUUAGCAGAAGGAGAGUAGUCAGACUAACACAUACCGGCUCCACGUCAGGAUGCUUGCCUCACCUUGACAGGUCCAUCGUUGUUGUCAGGGAUGGGCUCAGACUUGAGGUAGCGCUUCAACUUGCCAUCAAAGUAGUCCUGCAGGAAACGCUCCAGAGCUUUUCCAUCACGUCUGUCAUCACAUCAGGAAAAGAGGUUCAGUAGGAAGAAAAAUCAACCUGACAUAUUGGCCCACAGUGUUCUCCUGUCUGUGUGCAGCUUUUCAUAUGCAGAUUCCUGCCUUUUUGCGCAGGGAGGAUGUGAAGUAAGAGUUGAGGAUUAAUCUUAUCUGCUGCUUUUUAUGGAUAAUUUUAUAAAACAAUUUCAAUAUUUUAACACCAGGAGGGAACCAAACAGAACUCCUCAGGCAUCACACGCAUAUGGGGCAUCACUCAUCACUCAAACAUUAACAGAUCAUCUUUUGUCUAAGUCUACGUUUGGUCAAUGUAAGCUUUGGAGAAAAGAGGCUCAUCUGGACUUACGAGAACUCCUCACUCAUGGCGUAUUUGUCUCCCUUGGCAGUGCGGAUGGCCACAACGGGCAGCUCCCCUGAGCUUCCAUCCAGGCCGAACUCGGACACGUCGUGGUUGAACGCGUUCUUGUUGGCAACAGCAAAGUUCAGCUUCUUGCCCUGAUCGAGAAAGCUCUUUGCCACCUUCAUCACCCUAAAAAGAGAAAAGAAUAAACAAGGAAGUCAAAAUAAGGGGUUUAAGAGGAAAAAAGGUUUAACCAAUGAGGGCAGUCCUACCUGUUCCUCCAGUAGUUGGAGCCUUUGGGGUUUUUGUCAUAAUCAACAUCAUAAUAAGCCACCAGCAGAUCUUUGCCCCUCAGCUGGUCUUUGUUGUCAUCUGUCAUGUGGGGACAGAUUCCAAAGCUGUAAUAGAGAGAGAAAAAAAACUUUAUCGGAGGUUGCAUAGAAGACACAUCACAUCCCAAAAGGUCCUGUUGGAACAGAGCCACGUAUGUAAACAUGUAACUCAGUGUUUCUCCACUGCCAACCGUUAUAAAUGUACAGUGUGUAGCAAAAUAGUCAGGCUGAGCCACACACAGGUGGUGGUUCAGGAUGUGAACUGUCAACAGACUGCGUUUCAAACUCACAUGUUGUCCUGGAUGAACUUUUUGAUUUUGUUGCUGGUAAACUUUUCCUCAGUGAAUUUGACUGAGCCGUCUUCAAACUUGUUGCCGAGUCGCGGUGGACGGAACAAGACAACUCCCCUAAUGAACGGACAAACAAAGUCAGGUUAGUCCUGAUCAUUUAAGAAACCCUACCGCGCGCGCGCGCACACACACACACGCACCACUCAUGUGACAGGCCAAAUAAAGAACGAGUUACUUACUCCCCGUCGACAUCGUGGCUCUUGAGAAGAGCUUCAGAGUUGGUGUGGGCGAAGCGGUAGUUGUCCCGCAAGGCACUGGCUGCCUUGAGGAACUCUGUCUGUGCUGUGCUCUUGUCAUCAGCAAAGAAUCC